rnacentral:rRNA from 1 species
CCUACGGGAGGCAGCAGUGGGGAAUUUUGGACAAUGGGCGAAAGCCUGAUCCAGCAAUGCCGCGUGCAGGAUGAAGGCCUUCGGGUUGUAAACUGCUUUUGUACGGAACGAAACGGUCUUUUCUAAUACAGAGGGCUAAUGACGGUACCGUAAGAAUAAGCACCGGCUAACUACGUGCCAGCAGCCGCGGUAAUACGUAGGGUGCAAGCGUUAAUCGGAAUUACUGGGCGUAAAGCGUGCGCAGGCGGUUAUGUAAGACAGUUGUGAAAUCCCCGGGCUCAACCUGGGAAUUGCAUCUGUGACUGCAUAGCUAGAGUACGGUAGAGGGGGAUGGAAUUCCGCGUGUAGCAGUGAAAUGCGUAGAUAUGCGGAGGAACACCGAUGGCGAAGGCAAUCCCCUGGACCUGUACUGACGCUCAUGCACGAAAGCGUGGGGGAGCAAACAGGAUUAGAUACCCUGGUAGUCCACGCCCUAAACGAUGUCAACUGGUUGUUGGGUCUUCACUGACUCAGUAACGAAGCUAACGCGUGAAGUUGACCGCCUGGGGAGUACGGCCGCGAAGGUUGAAACUCAAAUGAAUUGACGG